rnacentral:rRNA from 1 species
UACCAGCACCCCGAGUGGUCGGGACGAUUAUUGGGCCUAAAGCAUCCGUAGCCGGUCCUGCAAGUCUUCCGUUAAACCCAACUGCUUAACAGAUGGGCUGCGGAGGAUACUAUAAGACUAGGAGGCAGGAGAGGCAAGCGGUACUCAGUGGGUAGGGGUAAAAUCCGUUGAUCCAUUGAAGACCACCAGUGGCGAAGGCGGCUUGCCAGAAUGCGCUCGACGGUGAGGGAUGAAAGCUGGGGGAGCAAACCGG